CUCACUUACCACAUAGUGGUCAUAUAAAUUGGACAGAUGGUCAUUUUGCCCUCAGAGGGCCAUCAUCAGAGUCCCGUUGAACUUCUCAAUUUUAACGUUUGGAAGUUCAAAGCUACUAAUGAUGCUCCUCUGACGACGAAAUGGCCAUCUUGCCAAUUUAAAUGACCAUUAUUUUAAACACAAUGUUAAAGAACUUACAUUUUUUUGCUAUUGACACAGUAGAAUAGUAUGUUCUUCUAAACUAAAUAACGUGUGUCCACCUUACAGGAGUGACAAAGGUUCAUGAGCAGUUCAAGAGAUCGAAACAAAACGCCUUUGUUACUACUGUAAGGCCGCCAUACGUUCUUCAGUUUAAGAGAACGCCAUAAUAUUUCCACAGUGCCAUUAGCAAAAAACACAAAGUUCUUUCAUAUUAUCUUACUUACGAAAUUGUGGUCUAGAUAUGUUGGGCACUAACACACCGUAUGUAUAUAUCUAGACAACUCGGUAAGUGAGGGCUCCAACUUAUCUUUUAUAGUACAAAAAUACAAGAUGCGACAUUGGACAAUCUUUCAGACUACAACAGAUUUUGUAACAGGGGGCUUAACGAUACGAGUUUUGCCCAAAUAGAACUACGACCUUGUCAACUUAAUGACACUUCUCACAGAACAUUUCAGGUGACCCAUUAGCUAUUGACAAAGUACGAAACCAGCCUUAUGCACGUUUCGGCCUCACAAGAUAUCAUCAGUUAGGCAUAUAGUUGUUGUAGACUGCUCCACAAAUUCUUCCCCGAUAAUAAAACACAGGAACCGAAAGCUGAUCGCAAUGACAGAUAUCCAGUCCUGAAUGUGUUUCAAUGCCGGAUACUAGCAGAAAUAGCUAGAACAGACUGACCACCUGCUACACGAGUCAAUGUGUAAGGACGAAUUCGGGUGCAGAUUUGUUUUGUUGCUAGGGAUGAUGGUCUUUGGACGGGAUACCUUUGGGUGAUCCCGGGUUGUCCCAGGACAUCAGUCAGGCAUAGUCAUAAUGAACGAUAUAGGUAGACUCGGUCGGAUGACCCGAAAAGUUCUGUGAGAACUGGCAUUAAUUUGAAUAACUGACCACCUCCAAAGAUCAGUAUCUGUAUGUAGGUGUAAUGAAAC
rnacentral:lncRNA from 1 species